rnacentral:rRNA from 1 species
AGAUUAAGUUAUUAAGGGCGCACGGUGGAUGCCUUGGCACUAGAAGCCGAUGAAGGACGUUACUAACGACGAUAUGCUUUGGGUAGCUGUAAGUAAGCGUUGAUCCAGAGAUUUCCGAAUGGGGG